UUCCUGUACACGUGGCUAUUCCUUAGAUCACGGAUGGUAUGAGCAGUCACUCCCCUCUGCUUCUUUGAAACCACGUCCACAAAUCUGGCAGAUACGACCUGAUAGGUUUCAGGAAAGGGCUUACGGCCUCCUUGCAACGUCGUUCCCGGCCCCUACUUCCUGGACACUUCUCUCGCUUGCCACGGGAGGCGCUUGUGGCUGGAGCCCAGCUGUUUGAACUCCUCUGUCACCAUGCUAAACCUGACGGGCACCUUCAAGGAGCCAAAGAAUCCCUAAGCCAUCCACGUGCAGGCCCUGAACGCUGGCUCGAAGUCACUCUGGAGCAGCCGCCCCUAUAGCGACAAUAAGACCACCAACCACAUUUUAUCUGUCCUUGGCCCUCCUCGGGUAUCUGCGACAGGCCACGGAGACCGUCUGCUGCUCAACGUUACGCUUCCCAGUGGCAGAGCAGAUGAAUCCAUCGAGAAAACCUAUCAUAAAGUUUCCUUUUCCAUCUUCUGGAAGAAAGCUGGUGAGAGCAAGGAGCAUAAGGAGACCACAACACAGAGCGAACAUGUCAUCAACAACCUCCACCAAGGGGUAGAGUACUGUGUGAUGGUGCAGCCAGAAAUAAUCGAAAAUCCAAAUUUACUGUCCUCUGACUGGACCUGCCGUUUCACCAGCCCUUUGCCCCUCAACCCAGCGGAUAUCUCUGGCGCGGUCGUACGUCCUGACUGUGGAUGCCACAGUGCCAGACCAGGUCUCGGUGAUGCCCGGCACAGGCGAUGCGGCAGAUGGUGGGGUCGAUAGCAACGUAUGGCCACCCCACACUGGAAACACAGGAACAAUUGCUGGGAACAUGAUUUCACAGAAAGGACUGUAGAAUAUUAAAGAUAUGGGUCCAGCAAACAAAUGUAUACCCCCUUUCAUUUUGAAACAAUUCAUAGUUUUUGAGUUAUGAGCUAUGCAAAUGAGCUGGUUGGCAAUUGACAGUCUAUGGCAAUGCAUGCCCAUACCACACCUGACAGACAGCAACAACAGGUGGCAAACAGUUUUUAUUGAAAUUUGUGCACAAUUUUAUAUUCUCUGCAAAUACAUCACAAUCAUAUCCAACUGUAUUCAUUUAACAAUGAAAAUUGACAAAAUUACAGUUCAUAAAUAAUUUUAUUCACCAAACUUUUAUUUUGAUAAAUACGAACCGGAAGUCUCCAAUUGUGGCCAGCAACAUUUGCCAACUUCACGGAGCUCAAGCCUACGCUAUAAAAUUGGGAAAGGUUACAGCUCUAAAAAAACGUUACAGUUUCAAGAGCUUCCUUCCUGUAAUGGUGUCAUUAAUUGAAAGUCAUUCAGUUAUCUUAUUUCAAUGUUAUUAACUUUAUUUGUA